CGCUGGGAACACAUCACGAAUUUGAACCGACAAAGGUACGUCGUCGACACGAUACUCAUCAGGGAAGUGGGUAAAUUAAUAAUAUUAAUAUGUGUGUCGCCAAAUUUGGUGGAAAAUGACGCCAUUUUGGCAUUAAAAAUGUGUUGAACAGUGUUGAAUGUGUUUGUUGAUCAGUACGAGCAGGAGAACAAAGGAAUGAUCGGCGUUAGUCGUUGCUGGUAGUUCCAAUGGGAAUGUCGACCUGAUAGACACGAUUUUUGGUGAUAAUGAGUAACAGUUGAAGUGAAUAAUCAACAGUGAGAUGGAAUUCGUGUUAAUUUAGUGAAAUUAAUCAGUGAAGUGUUGAGUGAACGACAAGAGAACAAAGAACUUUCAUUGUUCGAUAUUUUUCGCCGGUUUUAAUAAAGAUGUGGACCUAGUGAACAUUAAAUUUUGCGUCCACAAGUGAGAGUUAUUAUUAUUAAUUAAUUGUGAAGUGAAAGUUGAUUGAAUUUUUGAGAAAUUUGGUGAAAAAAUCAAGUGUUUCAAGAAGGGGAGACAAAGGCAUUCCAUUGUUUGGUGGUCGUGACGGGUUCCAGAGGUCAUGUAGACCUCUCCAAGGUGUGUAUUGUCCUCUAGGGCAUGUGAAAAUAAGGGAGUCGUGUCCAGGAGCAGAAUUAGGGGUAAGUAAAGGCAUUAAAUUGCUUCAUUUUUCUUUUAAUCAUUUUUUUUUCGUCAUGGCGGCGGUUGAGACGCUUCUCGCUGUAAUGGCGGCGGUAGAGACGCUUCUCGCUGUAAUGGCGGCGGUAGAGACGCGACUCGCUGUAAUGGCGGCGGGAGGGACGCGUCUCACUGCGAGGGAGGGAAUAUGCAUUGUGUGGUCUCAGUGUCGAAAACAGUGUUUGGUGUGAGUGAGAGGGAAAUAGUGUCGUUAAUCGACGUUGAAGUGAUAUGUGGGGCAUUAUGGGUGAUUUUGGUGUUGCAAACGCAGUUGAGUGUUGUGGGGGUGUGAAAGAACAAAGGAAUUCUGGCACCUGACGAUCUCCAGUGUUUCGACAGGUCCUGUUGACUCAGUGAUGAAGAUUCUCGAGUUCAAUGAUAACAGUCGCGAUUAUCGAUCAAUAAAACCGCGGAAUUAACAUCAGAUGAAAGUUUUCUUUAAAUCAGUGAAAUUGUGUAAAGUGAAGUAGUUGAUUUUGUGAUGAGGAUUUUCGUCUCCAACAGCUACCAACCGACAUUAUCAGUUGAAGGUACCCUCCUCUCUCUGGAGUGGAUUCUUCACUGAAACAGAAAUAAUUCUUCCCCAUGAGUCACCACCACCACCACCAGGAGCCAGAUAAUGGGAGGACGAUGCCACAAGGCAAAAGCAUGCAGAAAAGUGAUCCCAAAGAGAAUUAUACUUGAUACAUCGACACAUGCUGCAAGACGUCGGUGGCAUCUCCAACAUCAUCAGCAUCACCAGGGGCUCUCGGAGACCUGAAACAAAUAGCAGAUGGUCGGUUAGUAGCUGUUCUAGGGUGUCGUCGACCCUGGGAAUCAGGAAAAAAUAUAAAUCUCGAGGAAAAUCAACAAAUUCGAUUGCAAAAUUAUUAUUUAUUGAACAUCAAUCACAGGAGCUUGAUCUUGUGUAUACGAAGGACGUGCUGAUGGAGAUUGUGCUUCCACUUGGAGCGAUGAUCGCAGUAGGGACAGGCGAACUGCGGUGUCUUGCCACACUCCACCCUCAGGUGACGUGUCAGUGAGUCCUUGGACAGGUACUUUCUCCAGCAGUUUUUGCAUCUGAAGACUGUUCUCCCCAGCUCCCCCUCGUCGUACUCCACUGGAAAAAAAUUUAAAUCGUCUCGUUAGUGGAUCUUCAACCCCUCGAACCUCGACAUCAUCAUCGACAAUCAGAAAAUGUGACUGGGAGCGAGUGGGAAAGUUGCAAAGUCGUUUGAAAAUUCAAUAAUCAAUUGUUUUAUUCGCUUUACAUCAUCUCGAGGUAUUUUCAACCCCUGGGGGAGUACGUUGGAGUCACUGGGGCAGGAUGGGGGAUCAUCUAGUAGCGGUGUUUGGUGUUCAUGUGAAUUUUAAGAUUGAAUUUUCGCUUUGAACUGAAAUUACAGUGGGGACAGUGGAACUGCGGUGGUCUUCCACAUUCUAAACGUCGGUGUCGUCGCAGUGUUGAGGAAUUUGCAUAGGUUUUGCUGCACUGGGGACAUGUGUGCGAUGUCACUCGGACGAAAUAUUCGGUUGCUAGGUAAUCUGAAAUAAAAUUAAAUGUUUGAUUAUUAAUAUUUAAUUAAAAACUCGUGAAAUACGAGAUAAACAUCAGUCGUUCAUUCGAAAUAUCGUAGAAUAUUGGGAAAUAUUGGAAUAAAAAAUUGGACAGAAUUAAUUUAAUCAAUCGAUUGGUAUCGAUAAUAUUCUCUGCGAAGACGUAUCAACAUUUCGUCUAGAAAAACCAUUUUAUUUCUAUUAUUUACAAAAAAAAAAUGUGGUUUGUUGCCACGUUAAUGUACGAUGGAGUAGCAGACAACAGCUACUUUCGUAUUAAAAAAUAGUUUAAAUGUUUUUUAUUUAUUUAUUCGUAACAAAUGCCAUUUUGUAUUGUAUCUGCUUAACGUAUUCCUCGUAACCGGAGUUGAGUAGCAGUGGCCAGCACUCUGGUGAUUCCCUAAUGUGUCUGUGAAGUGAUUUCUUCCAUUUAUAUAUUUUCGAGCACGCGAGGCACACGUGACGAUCUUCUGAAAAAUAAUAAAAAUACAAAAAAUCAUAA